UACAGAGGGUGCGAGCGUUAAUCGGAAUUACUGGGCGUAAAGCGUGCGUAGACGGUUAUUUAAGUCGGGUGUGAAAGCCCCGGGCUCAACCUGGGAAUUGCAUUCGAGACUGAAUAGCUAGGGUACGGUAGAGGGAAGCGGAAUUUCCGGUGUAGCGGUGAAAUGCGUAGAUAUCGGAAGGAACACCAGUGGCGAAGGCGGCUUACUGGUCCGGUUCUGACGCUGAGGCGCGAAAGCGUGGGGAGCAAACAGG
rnacentral:rRNA from 1 species